GCCCGGGUGGUGAAAUGGUAGACACAAGGGACUUAAAAUCCCUCGCUCGUUUGAGCGUGCCGGUUCAAGUCCGGCCCCGGGCACCA
rnacentral:tRNA from 1 species